rnacentral:lncRNA from 1 species
AACAGUCGGAAAGCUGACCCAGGUUUGACCCCAUUUCUCAAAGCAACAAUGGACGUCAUGUGAUUACCAUAUAUAGGAUUUUUUUUACCAAAAAAAGUGAAGCCCGUUUUUUUGAAUUUGCAGUUUUUUGCAUGAAUUAUAACUAAUUUUCUUUUAAGUGAACAUUCUUGAGUAUAUAAGAAACAUAUUGAUCAACUCAAUAAUGGAUUAAAAUCAUUUUUUCUCUCAAAAUGUGUCUUCAAAGUCCAGGUGAUGACCUAAAAAAUUGGUCACAGGAAAUUAAAAUCGUAAUUUUCUUUCUUAUUAACUUCUCUGGAAGCUAUGCUGAAUUUAAAUUAUGUUAUGUAAGAUAACUUGGACUAUGAUGUGUCAAAUUUGUGCCACUUAAUACGCUGUAAUACGCAAAUGUGCCACUUCGAUGUGUCGAUGCUUCUGACGAAGCGGGGCCGAUAGUAAUUUACGAGUUACGUCCCUUUGUAUGACACUCUCAUGAACAAACUAUUAUUAUAUUAAGCACCAUAUGCUGUUAUU